rnacentral:sRNA from 1 species
CGAAAGCCUGACGGAGCAAUACCGCGUGAGGGAGGAAGGCUCUUGGGUUGUAAACCUCUUUUCUCAGGGAAGAAAUCUGACGGUACCUGAGGAAUCAGCAUCGGCUAACUCCGUGCCAGCAGCCGCGGUAAUACGGAGGAUGCAAGCGUUAUCCGGAAUGAUUGGGCGUAAAGCGUCCGCAGGUGGCAGUUCAAGUCUGCUGUCAAAGACCGGGGCUCAACCCUGGAAAGGCAGUGGAAACUGAACAGCUAGAGUGCGGUAGGGGCAGAGGGAAUUCCCAGUGUAGCGGUGAAAUGCGUAGAGAUUGGGAAGAACACCGGUGGCGAAAGCGCUCUGCUAGACCGCAACUGACACUCAGGGACGAAAGCUAGGGGAGCGAAUGGGAUUAGAUACCCCAGUAGUCCUAGCCGUAAACGUUGGAUACUAGGCGUUGCUCGUAUCGACCCGAGCAGUGUCGUAGCUAACGCGUUAAGUAUCCCGCCUGGGGAGUACGCCGGCAACGGUGAAACUCAAAGGAAUUGACGGGGGCCCGCACAAGCGGUGGAGUAUGUGGUUUAAUUCGAUGCAACGCGAAGAACCUUACCAAGACUUGACAUGUCGCGAACCCCACUGAAAGGUGGGGGUGCCUUCGGGAGCGCGAACACAGGUGGUGCAUGGCUGUCGUCAGCUCGUGUCGUGAGAUGUUGGGUUAAGUCCCGCAACGAGCGCAACCCUCGUUUUUAGUUGCCAGCGGGUAAAGCCGGGCACUCUAGAGAGACUGCCGGUGACAAACCGGAGGAAGGUGGGGAUGACGUCAAGUCAGCAUGCCCCUUACGUCUUGGGCAACACACGUACUACAAUGCUACGGACAAAGGGCAGCAAGUUAGCAAUGACAAGCAAAUCCCACAAACCGUGGCUCAGUUCAGAUUGGAGGCUGCAACUCGCCUCCAUGAAGUCGGAAUCGCUAGUAAUUGCAGGUCAGCAUACUGCAGUGAAUUCGUUCCCGGGCCUUGUACACACCGCCCGUCACACCAUGGAAGCUGGCCACGCCCGAAGUCGUUACCCUAACCGCAAGGAGGGGGACGCCGAAGGCAGGGCUGGUGACUGGGGUGAAGUCGUAACAAGGUAGCCGUACCGGAAGGUGUGGCUGGAUCACCUCCUUUACAGGGAGACCUACCCCAUCGGUAUCGAAAGCUAAGUAGCUGGGUAACGAUGAGGUCACCCCUAAGGUCGGUCGAGGUAAUAGUGUGGCUUUUCAACUAUAAUCGGUUCGGUUUCAUAGUCGGGGCUAUUAGCUCAGGUGGUUAGAGCGCACCCCUGAUAAGGGUGAGGUCCCUGGUUCGAGUCCAGGAUGGCCCACCUAAAAUAGGGGGGGGUAUAGCUCAGCUGGUAGAGCGCUGCCUUUGCAAGGCAGAAGCCAGCGGUUCGAGUCCGCUUACCUCCACAUGAUAGACUAGAAAAGUUGGGCAGAAUGUUGACAGCAACAUGACUGGAAACACCCCAGUCAGACUGCUGGCAGCAAUUGCCAGCCAGAACCUUGAAAACUGCAUAAGUAACGCGUUAAAGCAAGUAGAUACAGCCGUAGUAAGCGCGAAAGCUGUAACGCUUGCUGUGUAUAAACCAAUGUGGUCAAGCUAAUCAGGGCUGACGGUGGAUACCUAGGCACACAGAGGCGAAGAAGGACGUGGCGACCGACGAAAAGCUCCGGGGAGCUGGAAGCAAGCAUCGAGCCGGAGAUCUCCGAAUGGGGCAACCCUAAAUACUACCUGCUGAAUAUAUAGGCAGGCUUGAGCCAACCCAGCGAACUGAAACAUCUUAGUAGCUGGAGGAACAAAAAGAAAAAUCGAUUCCCUAAGUAGUGGUGAGCGAACAGGGAACAGCCUAAACCAGCUGUUACGACAGUUGGGGUAGUGGGACAGCAACAAUAGAUAGUCUAGUCUAAACGAAGCAGUUGGCAUACUGCACCAGAGAAGGUGAAAGUCCUGUAAUUGAAAGGCGAAACUGCUAUAGCUGAAUCCCGAGUAGCACGGGGCACGAGGAAUCCCGUGUGAAUCAGCGAGGACCAUCUUCGUAAGGCUAAAUACUACUGUGUGACCGAUAGUGAACCAGUACCGCGAGGGAAAGGUGAAAAGAACCCCGCAAGGGGAGUGAAAUAGAACAUGAAACCGUCAGCUGUCAAGCAGUGGAAGGACGAUUCAACGUCUGACCGCGUGCCUGUUGAAGAAUGAGCCGGCGACUUAUAAGCAGUGGCAGGUGAAGGCGAGAAUGCCACAACCAAAGCGAAAGCGAGUCUGAAUCGGGCGUUAAAGUCACUGUUUAUAGACCCGAACCCGGGUGAUCUAACCAUGUCCAGGAUGAAGCUUGGGUAACACCAAGUGGAGGUCCGAACCGACCGAUGUUGAAAAAUCGGCGGAUGAGGUGUGGUUAGGGGUGAAAUACCAAUCGAACCCGGAGCUAGCUGGUUCUCCCCGAAAUGUGUUGAGGCGCAGCGGUUGUGAAUAUAGCCUGGGGGUAAAGCACUGUUUCGGUGCGGGCUGCCUUAAGCGGUACCAAAUCGAGACAAACUCAGAAUACCAGGUGCACACACAACCAGUGAGACGGUGGGGGAUAAGCUCCAUCGUCAAGAGGGAAACAGCCCAGACCACCAGCUAAGGCCCCCAAAUUGUCACUGAGUGAUCAAGGAGGUGGGAGUGCAUAGACAACCAGGAGGUUUGCCUAGAAGCAGCAAUCCUUGAAAGAGUGCGUAAUAGCUCACUGGUCAAGCGCUGCCGCGCCGAAAAUGAACGGGGCUAAGUGACAUGCCGAAGCUGUGGGAUAUGAAAAUAUCGGUAGGGGAGCGUUCCGCGAUAGGAUGAAGCACUAGCGGCAAGCAGGUGUGGACGAAGCGGAAGUGAGAAUGUCGGCUUGAGUAGCGAAAACAUUGGUGAGAAUCCAAUGCCCCGAAACCCCAAGGGUUCCGACGCCAGGUUCGUCCACGUCGGGUUAGUCAGGACCUAAGGCGAGGCCAAACGGCGUAGUCGAUGGACAACGGGUUAACAAUCCCGUACUGAAACUGAUUUGUGCAGAGGGACGGAGAAGGCAAAAAUCAGCCGGAUGUUGGUUACCGGUUCAACUGUUCGAGGUGAUGAGCAGCGGCGAAAACGCUGUGAGCUGAGGCAGGAGUACGAGCGACCACGGUUGCGAAGUGAUGGAGUCCAGCUUCCAAGAAAAGCUCGGUGGCACGUUAAAUCAGAUUUACCUGUACCCGAAACCGACACAGGUGGGGAGGUAGAGAAUACUCAGGGGCGCGAGAUAACUCUCUCUAAGGAACUCGGCAAAAUGGCCCCGUAACUUCGGGAGAAGGGGUGCCCACCACAAGUGGGCCGCAGUGAAGAGAUCCAGGCGACUGUUUACCAAAAACACAGGUCUCCGCGAAGUCAAAUGACGAGGUAUGGGGGCUGACGCCUGCCCAGUGCCGGAAGGUUAAGGAAGUCGGUCAGGGGGAAACCCUAAAGCUGGCGACUGAAGCCCCGGUGCCUCGGCGGCCGUAACUAUAACGGUCCUAAGGUAGCGAAAUUCCUUGUCGGGUAAGUUCCGACCCGCACGAAAGGCGUAACGAUCUGGAUGGUGUCUCAGAGAGAGACUCGGCGAAAUAGGAAUGUCUGUGAAGAUACGGACUACCUGCACCAGGACAGAAAGACCCUAUGAAGCUUUACUGUAGCCUGGAAUUGAGUCCGGGCUUGGCUUGCGCAGCAUAGGUGGGAGGCGUUGAGACUGUGCUUGUGGGCACAGUGGAGCCAACGGUGAGAUACCACUCUGGCGAAGCUAGGAUUCUAACCGCGCACCUUUAUCAGGUGCGGGGACAGUUUCAGGUGGGCAGUUUGACUGGGGCGGUCGCCUCCUAAAAGGUAACGGAGGCGCGCAAAGGUUCCCUCAGCACGGUUGGAAAUCGUGCGGCGAGUGUAAAGGCAAUAAGGGAGCUAGACUGCCAGAGCUACAACUCAAGCAGGGACGAAAGUCGGCCUUAGUGAUCCGACGGCACUGCAUGGAAGGGCCGUCGCUCAACGGAUAAAAGUUACUCUAGGGAUAACAGGCUGAUCUCCCCCAAGAGUCCACAUCGAC